rnacentral:rRNA from 1 species
GAAGUCGGCAAAACUUAUCCGUAACCUUGGGAUAAGGAUUGGCUCUGAGGACGGAGCCGGUAGGGCUGGGGACCUGAAGCUGGAACGGCACUCCACCCGGACUGGGCGGGGCUCGCCGUUCACGCGGCGCGGCCAAGCCCGGACCUGCGUCGGGACCUUCCUGUGGAAAGCCUCAGCUGCGCGGCGUCUGAGGGCUUCGUGCCCAAAGUGCUAUGUUUCGGCCGGCAAAGAACAGUCAACUCAGAACUGGCACGGAUCGGGGGAAUCCGACUGUCUAAUUAAAACAAAGCAUUGCGAUGGCCGCUGGUCGGUGUUGACGCAAUGUGAUUUCUGCCCCGUGCUCUGAAUGUCAACGUGAAGAGAUUCAUCAAAGUGCGGGUAAAUGGCGGGAGUAACUAUGACUCUCAUGCUGGCCAGUUGGCCAAUAUGAAUCAACAGCUGC